rnacentral:misc_RNA from 1 species
UAACAAUUGUCCUAAUCCCUGCAGCAGGAUCAUCCUCACUCUGAAACUUUUUGUUCUCCUUUAGCCCAAUCAGUCUCUGCAAAGGCUGCUGUUUCGGCUCUUCAGUAUCGGCAGCGACAGAUUGCCAUCCGUCGUCAAUGAUGACGAACCUCGGAGGAGUCUGAGCAGAGGUGAGGCUCCUCAGCCCAGCUUCCACGCCAUCCUG